GGGAUGGAGGAGAGGCUUCGCCUCACAAACUCCGGGGCGGCCGAUCCCGGUGCGCCAGCUGGACUCUCCGAAGCAGCAAGCUGGCCUGGCAGGACAUCUCAGCAGGGGCUACAUCUCAGCCGGGCUACAGUGCAGUGAAAACUCAGAGUAGUGCUGAAGAGACAGCAGGGGCAGGACAGCGGUGACCCAGCUCCAGCAGGGCAGGGAGAGCCGGGCCCAGGGUCCCGGGCACCCGAGCGGGUGCGCACAGGUCCCUCUGUCUGUGAGGGCAGCAGCUCGGACCGCCAUCCUCCUGCAUAGCCGAGAGACAGAGAGCGAGCCUGCAGCUGCCCCAGCCCUGACUUUUAUCAGCCCUAUCCUCACCGUAUCUCUGCCCCAUCGGAGAGAAUCUCCCAGCUGGAGUUGCAAUGCUUGGAUAUCCUGGACAAGAGUGAGAUUGCCAAGUCUAACCUCCUCAGUCAUCCCUCUGGGCUUCUUCAUCUGAAAUUGCUAAUAUCCACAAGACUGCUCCCUUAAUAUCUGAAACAUCCCUUGGGUAAGGUGUUGUGUUUGUAGGCUGGGAAAUAUCUUGUGGUCCUGGGCUUGUGUCCUGCAUCCCCCAUUCCCUGCCAUAGUGAUGCCCAGACAGCAUUAUGGCAAUCCAGACCAGGACACAAGGCAGUUCACUAGGAUAGAAAACACUUUGUGUCUGGUUUAGGUUAGGUCCAACACCUAGGAAGAGUUUGAGGCUGUUGCUGGGACACACCUGGUGUUUGACAGUGCAGCUUUGGCUGGUUCCUGGCAGGGAGGAGCUCACAUCCCCAGACUGAGUUAUGUUGCUCCUACCUCGUGCUGCAGCCAAGAUCCCAUGGGAGAGACCAUCCAGCCCUGACAUGCCUGGAGUGACUUGGGAAGCUGCCCCCUGCUGCCAGAUUUCUUCUGGAAAAGGGUUUUGUGCCAGGUGGGAACAUGUGGGAAACAUCCUCUGGGAUGCACUGACCUCAGAGACAGGAGGAAGUGACAGUGCACAGGAGACUUGGGUUUCUGCCAAUCCUUUUUGUGCCAUGUCUCCCUGAUUUCUGGUUGUGGGAUUAAUCAAAACUUACAAAUAGGAUAAAACCAAGGUGAGGAAAUACAAUGCUGGCUUGUACUGUUCCAUCUUGGUCUGGGCACACACCCUGACUGAGGUCUGGGAUAAGUGUUUCCAUCCAAGUCCAAAGCAUAUGUGCAUGUAAGUCACCAUUAUCUUUAUUCCUCUUAGGGUUCCUUCCAAACUGGCACUAUACCAUUUCUUGGCAAAAGCAUAGUCUAGACAAGAUGGCCUAGCACCCUGUCCAGCUGGAUCUUAAAAAUGUCAUGUGUUGAGGAGUCCCCCACAUCUCUGGGGAGUUUAUCCCCAUGACUGACUGUUCUCUGUGUAAAAAAAAUUUCCUCUUGUGUCCAGUCUCACCACAAGUAACUCAUACCUGUUACCUCCCCUCUUUUCCAUGUGACUCUUUGUAAAAAGGGAGUCUCCAUCUUCUUUGUAGCUACCCUUUAAAUUCUGGGACAUGGCAAUAAAGUCUCCCCUAAGCCUUCUUUUCCCAAGGGUGUACAAACCCAGUUCUCUCAGCCCCUUUUCUGUUAUGGCUGGUUCCCAAUCCUCUGAUAACCUUUCUGACCCUUCUCUGGACCUUCUCCAGCCUGUCCAUAAAAUUUCUGUGUAGUGGGGACCAAAACUGAACAUUGUAUUCCAGGUGUGGCUUGACAAGUGGGAUAAUGACAUAUUUAUCUUUGUUGGUGAUGCCCUUGUUGAUGCAAUCCAGAAUCCUGCUGGCUUUCUUUUUAUAUUAUGUUGAAAUAUUGUUGGAAUGCUGAGUUGCAGAUUUUGUUCAUUAAACAAGGGUAAUGAAAAUGAUUAAAAAUGAAUGUCUUUCUAA